rnacentral:rRNA from 1 species
CGCCUACAUGAAGCUGGAGUUGCUAGUAAUCGCGAAUCAGAAUGUCGCGGUGAAUACGUUCCCGGGCCUUGUACACACCGCCCGUCACACCAUGAGAGCUGGUAACACCCGAAGUCCGUGAGGUAACCGUAAGGAGCCAGCGGCCGAAGGUGGGAUUAGUGAUUGGGGUGAAGUCGUAACAAGGUAGCCGUAGGAGAACCUGCGGCUGGAUCACCUCCUUUCUAAGGAGA